CAAAGCCACACGAACAAUCGCAACGCACGUCAGACAUCCCGAGCUACCAACUCUUCGACUCGUUUCUCCCCUCUGCAGACUCUCCGCUGAAAACUCGAACUCCCAAUUCUAAUGACAGAUAAUGGUAGAAAUGACGAUGACACAACAACAUCGGUUGAUACCUCUGUUGAAAAGCUUCCCAAUCAUCUCCUGAUAGAAGUUUUCAUUCGCGUUCCUGUCUCAGAUUGGGUACAAGUAUCUUGUGUGAAAAAGGAGUGGGCCAAUCUGUUUCGUGGAGAAUGCUUGUGGCAAGCUGCUCUAGUCAAGCUUUACCCUUUGGCUGGCCAAACUAAAAAGUGGCCUGGACCUAUCCCUCGAGGGCCAAGCAGAAGGAGAUUCACAGCUCUAUACAUUAGUAAACACAUGUUUGCUCUGGAUGGUGAGAUAGACGAACUUGUGGGCCACAUUUAUUUGUUUUUGAAAGAGCAACUUGAGCUUUCCACUAUGCCACCUCCUUCAGGGAUACUUCAUGGAACAAUGAUAGAUCAAUUUAUUGCUUGUGGCAAAUCAAGUGACAUGGCCCAUGAGCUAGCUUCACAGAUCUGGCUGGCCGUUGUUGACGGUUUGGAGGAAAAUGAACACACGUUUUGCUUGCUUAAAAAUCUUGCACAGGAGGGCGAUGUUUUUCUUCCAUACCCAUACUCUAGAUCAAGCAAAGUCCAAUGGAGGGUGUUUGAAAAGCUGUUCACCGAUUUCCGUGACUGCUUUAGUCGUGUAGAUUACUAUGAUGUAUUGGCAUGCGCCAAGAACAAGUUUCAGCCGAUACCAUCAGCUUGGUUAGGUUACUAGCCCCACCUGAGAUGCAUAUCCCGGACCACAUCAAGUGUUUGUACAUAGGAAUAUAGUAUGGGGGGGCCAACAGAGUCAAAACCAUCAGAGCUACUUACCCGAUUCAACGUGAAUUUAGUAUUUACAUUUAAUAUUGCAUAAAGUUGAUUACUUUUUUUUUCUUCUUCUCUUUACUUAGAUCCGGAGUUAACAUUAUUUUAUCAUGUCUGCAAGAUUUGAUGAGAUUACUUUAUUGUCUGCAAAUAAGAAAGGACAGUGACUUGUUUAAGCUUAA